AGCAGAGUGGCUCGGUGGAAAGAGCACAGGCUUGGGAGUCAGAGGUCACGGUCAAAGGUGUCAGAGGUCGUGGGUUCGAUUCCCGCCUCCGCCA
rnacentral:tRNA from 1 species